rnacentral:rRNA from 1 species
GGAAAGUGGAAUUUUCCGGGGUAGCGGUGAAAUGGGUAGAUAUCGGAAGGAACACCAGUGGGAAGGCGACUUCCUUGGGCCCAAUACUGACGCUCCAGGUGCGAAAGCGUGGGGAGCAAACAGGAUUAGAUACCCCUGGUAGUCCACGCCGUAAACGAUGAGAACUAGAUGUCGGGAGGGUUUAGCCUUUUCGGUGUCGCAGCUAACGCGUUAAGUUCUCCCGCCUGGGGAGUACGCCGGCAACGGUAAAACUCAAAGGAAUUGACGGGGACCCGCACAAGCGGUGGAGCAUGUGGUUUAAUUCGAUGCAACGCGAAGAACCUUACCAGCCCUUGACAUCCCUCGGAACUUUGCAGAGAUGCAUUGGUGCCUUCGGGAAUCGAGUGACAGGUGCUGCAUGGCUGUCUUCAGCUCGUGUCGUGAGAUGUUGGGUUAAGUCCCGCAACGAGCGCAACCCUUGUCCCUAGUUGCCAGCGAUUCGGUCGGGAACUCUAGGGAGACUGCCGGUGACAAACCGGAGGAAGGUGGGGACGACGUCAAGUCAUCAUGGCCCUUAUGGGCUGGGCUACACACGU